GAUGAACGCUGGUGGCGUGCCUAAUACAUGCAAGUCGAGCGAACGGACGAGAAGCUUGCUUCUCUGAUGUUAGCGGCGGACGGGUGAGUAACACGUGGAUAACCUACCUAUAAGACUGGGAUAACUUCGGGAAACCGGAGCUAAUACCGGAUAAUAUUUUGAACCGCAUGGUUCAAAAGUGAAAGACGGUCUUGCUGUCACUUAUAGAUGGAUCCGCGCUGCAUUAGCUAGUUGGUAAGGUAACGGCUUACCAAGGCAACGAUGCAUAGCCGACCUGAGAGGGUGAUCGGCCACACUGGAACUGAGACACGGUCCAGACUCCUACGGGAGGCAGCAGUAGGGAAUCUUCCGCAAUGGGCGAAAGCCUGACGGAGCAACGCCGCGUGAGUGAUGAAGGUCUUCGGAUCGUAAAACUCUGUUAUUAGGGAAGAACAUAUGUGUAAGUAACUGUGCACAUCUUGACGGUACCUAAUCAGAAAGCCACGGCUAACUACGUGCCAGCAGCCGCGGUAAUACGUAGGUGGCAAGCGUUAUCCGGAAUUAUUGGGCGUAAAGCGCGCGUAGGCGGUUUUUUAAGUCUGAUGUGAAAGCCCACGGCUCAACCGUGGAGGGUCAUUGGAAACUGGAAAACUUGAGUGCAGAAGAGGAAAGUGGAAUUCCAUGUGUAGCGGUGAAAUGCGCAGAGAUAUGGAGGAACACCAGUGGCGAAGGCGACUUUCUGGUCUGUAACUGACGCUGAUGUGCGAAAGCGUGGGGAUCAAACAGGAUUAGAUACCCUGGUAGUCCACGCCGUAAACGAUGAGUGCUAAGUGUUAGGGGGUUUCCGCCCCUUAGUGCUGCAGCUAACGCAUUAAGCACUCCGCCUGGGGAGUACGACCGCAAGGUUGAAACUCAAAGGAAUUGACGGGGACCCGCACAAGCGGUGGAGCAUGUGGUUUAAUUCGAAGCAACGCGAAGAACCUUACCAAAUCUUGACAUCCUUUGACAACUCUAGAGAUAGAGCCUUCCCCUUCGGGGGACAAAGUGACAGGUGGUGCAUGGUUGUCGUCAGCUCGUGUCGUGAGAUGUUGGGUUAAGUCCCGCAACGAGCGCAACCCUUAAGCUUAGUUGCCAUCAUUAAGUUGGGCACUCUAAGUUGACUGCCGGUGACAAACCGGAGGAAGGUGGGGAUGACGUCAAAUCAUCAUGCCCCUUAUGAUUUGGGCUACACACGUGCUACAAUGGACAAUACAAAGGGCAGCGAAACCGCGAGGUCAAGCAAAUCCCAUAAAGUUGUUCUCAGUUCGGAUUGUAGUCUGCAACUCGACUACAUGAAGCUGGAAUCGCUAGUAAUCGUAGAUCAGCAUGCUACGGUGAAUACGUUCUCGGGUCU
rnacentral:rRNA from 1 species